UUAAGCGACUAAGCGUACACGGUGGAUGCCCUGGCAGUCAGAGGCGAUGAAGGACGUGCUAAUCUGCGAUAAGCGUCGGUAAGGUGAUAUGAACCGUUAUAACCGACGAUUUCCGAAUGGGGAAACCCAGUGUGAUUCGUCACACUAUCAUUAACUGAAUCCAUAGGUUAAUGAGGCGAACCGGGGGAACUGAAACAUCUAAGUACCCCGAGGAAAAGAAAUCAACCGAGAUUCCCCCAGUAGCGGCGAGCGAACGGGGAGCAGCCCAGAGCCUGAAUCAGUGUGUGUGUUAGUGGAAGCGUCUGGAAAGGCGCGCGAUACAGGGUGACAGCCCCGUACACAAAAAUGCACAUGCUGUGAGCUCGAUGAGUAGGGCGGGACACGUGGUAUCCUGUCUGAAUAUGGGGGGACCAUCCUCCAAGGCUAAAUACUCCUGACUGACCGAUAGUGAACCAGUACCGUGAGGGAAAGGCGAAAAGAACCCCGGCGAGGGGAGUGAAAAAGAACCUGAAACCGUGUACGUACAAGCAGUGGGAGCACGCUUAGGCGUGUGACUGCGUACCUUUUGUAUAAUGGGUCAGCGACUUAUAUUCUGUAGCAAGGUUAACCGAAUAGGGGAGCCGAAGGGAAACCGAGUCUUAACUGGGCGUUAAGUUGCAGGGUAUAGACCCGAAACCCGGUGAUCUAGCCAUGGGCAGGUUGAAGGUUGGGUAACACUAACUGGAGGACCGAACCGACUAAUGUUGAAAAAUUAGCGGAUGACUUGUGGCUGGGGGUGAAAGGCCAAUCAAACCGGGAGAUAGCUGGUUCUCCCCGAAAGCUAUUUAGGUAGCGCCUCGUGAAUUCAUCUCCGGGGGUAGAGCACUGUUUCGGCAAGGGGGUCAUCCCGACUUACCAACCCGAUGCAAACUGCGAAUACCGGAGAAUGUUAUCACGGGAGACACACGGCGGGUGCUAACGUCCGUCGUGAAGAGGGAAACAACCCAGACCGCCAGCUAAGGUCCCAAAGUCAUGGUUAAGUGGGAAACGAUGUGGGAAGGCCCAGACAGCCAGGAUGUUGGCUUAGAAGCAGCCAUCAUUUAAAGAAAGCGUAAUAGCUCACUGGUCGAGUCGGCCUGCGCGGAAGAUGUAACGGGGCUAAACCAUGCACCGAAGCUGCGGCAGCGACGCUGAUGCGUUGUUGGGUAGGGGAGCGUUCUGUAAGCCUGCGAAGGUGUGCUGUGAGGCAUGCUGGAGGUAUCAGAAGUGCGAAUGCUGACAUAAGUAACGAUAAAGCGGGUGAAAAGCCCGCUCGCCGGAAGACCAAGGGUUCCUGUCCAACGUUAAUCGGGGCAGGGUGAGUCGACCCCUAAGGCGAGGCCGAAAGGCGUAGUCGAUGGGAAACAGGUUAAUAUUCCUGUACUUGGUGUUACUGCGAAGGGGGGACGGAGAAGGCUAUGUUGGCCGGGCGACGGUUGUCCCGGUUUAAGCGUGUAGGCUGGUUUUCCAGGCAAAUCCGGAAAACUAAGGCUGAGGCGUGAUGACGAGGCACUACGGUGCUGAAGCAACAAAUGCCCUGCUUCCAGGAAAAGCCUCUAAGCAUCAGGUAACAUCAAAUCGUACCCCAAACCGACACAGGUGGUCAGGUAGAGAAUACCAAGGCGCUUGAGAGAACUCGGGUGAAGGAACUAGGCAAAAUGGUGCCGUAACUUCGGGAGAAGGCACGCUGAUAUGUAGGUGAAGCGACUUGCUCGUGGAGCUGAAAUCAGUCGAAGAUACCAGCUGGCUGCAACUGUUUAUUAAAAACACAGCACUGUGCAAACACGAAAGUGGACGUAUACGGUGUGACGCCUGCCCGGUGCCGGAAGGUUAAUUGAUGGGGUCAGCGCAAGCGAAGCUCUUGAUCGAAGCCCCGGUAAACGGCGGCCGUAACUAUAACGGUCCUAAGGUAGCGAAAUUCCUUGUCGGGUAAGUUCCGACCUGCACGAAUGGCGUAAUGAUGGCCAGGCUGUCUCCACCCGAGACUCAGUGAAAUUGAACUCGCUGUGAAGAUGCAGUGUACCCGCGGCAAGACGGAAAGACCCCGUGAACCUUUACUAUAGCUUGACACUGAACAUUGAGCCUUGAUGUGUAGGAUAGGUGGGAGGCUUUGAAGUGUGGACGCCAGUCUGCAUGGAGCCGACCUUGAAAUACCACCCUUUAAUGUUUGAUGUUCUAACGUUGACCCGUAAUCCGGGUUGCGGACAGUGUCUGGUGGGUAGUUUGACUGGGGCGGUCUCCUCCUAAAGAGUAACGGAGGAGCACGAAGGUUGGCUAAUCCUGGUCGGACAUCAGGAGGUUAGUGCAAUGGCAUAAGCCAGCUUGACUGCGAGCGUGACGGCGCGAGCAGGUGCGAAAGCAGGUCAUAGUGAUCCGGUGGUUCUGAAUGGAAGGGCCAUCGCUCAACGGAUAAAAGGUACUCCGGGGAUAACAGGCUGAUACCGCCCAAGAGUUCAUAUCGACGGCGGUGUUUGGCACCUCGAUGUCGGCUCAUCACAUCCUGGGGCUGAAGUAGGUCCCAAGGGUAUGGCUGUUCGCCAUUUAAAGUGGUACGCGAGCUGGGUUUAGAACGUCGUGAGACAGUUCGGUCCCUAUCUGCCGUGGGCGCUGGAGAAUUGAGGGGGGCUGCUCCUAGUACGAGAGGACCGGAGUGGACGCAUCACUGGUGUUCGGGUUGUCAUGCCAAUGGCACUGCCCGGUAGCUAAAUGCGGAAGAGAUAAGUGCUGAAAGCAUCUAAGCACGAAACUUGCCCCGAGAUGAGUUCUCCCUGACUCCUUGAGAGUCCUGAAGGAACGUUGAAGACGACGACGUUGAUAGGCCGGGUGUGUAAGCGCAGCGAUGCGUUGAGCUAACCGGUACUAAUGAACCGUGAGGCUUAACCUU
rnacentral:rRNA from 1 species